rnacentral:rRNA from 1 species
UGGGGGAUAUUGCACAAUGGGGGAAACCCUGAUGCAGCAACGCCGCGUGAGGGACGACGGUCUUCGGAUUGUAAACCUAAGUAGUCAGGGAAGAAGUAUGACGGUACCUGAAAAGUAAGCUCCGGCUAACUACGUGCCAGCAGCCGCGGUAAUACGUAGGGAGCGAGCGUUGUCCGGAUUUACUGGGUGUAAAGGGUGCGUAGGCGGGCUGGCAAGUCAGACGUGAAAUACCGGAGCUUAACUCCGGGGCUGCGUUUGAAACUGCUAGUCUUGAGUGAAGUAGAGGCAGGCGGAAUUCCUAGUGUAGCGGUGAAAUGCGUAGAUAUUAGGAGGAACACCAGUGGCGAAGGCGGCCUGCUGGGCUUUAACUGACGCUGAGGCACGAAAGCAUGGGGAGCAAACA